GUAGACCAUAGGGACAGGUUAAGUGUUGAUUUCAGCGGUGAAAUGACAGCCUAUGCUCUUUUUGCAGGCGGAAAUACUUCGAAGACAAAGCUUAUUAGUAGUAUCAUAGGUGUUAUAGCACUUUUGGCUGUUGUACUUCCAGGAACUAGCUUUUACCUUGUGAAAAGAAGAAGACAAAUAGAGAGAGGUAAAAAGAUAUUGGUGUUUCAAAUUGAAAAGAAAGUAAUUGUUUCAGCGAACCGAUCAUCAAGUUGAAUCUUUGCAGAGGCGGAUGAAAGUAGUCAAGCAGCUCAAUUUCUUAACACGGUAGUAGGAACACUUGGUGAAGACUUUUCAAAUGAUGAUUUUCACUCAGAAAACCGUUCGAGGUCCCACGAGUUUCCAGUUGUAAAAUUAGACCUCAUUCGUGCAGCUACACAAAAUUUUUCUGAAGAAAACAAGCUCGGACAAGGUGGAUUUGGUCCAGUGUACAAGGGUACACUAGCCAAUGGCAAAGCAAUUGCAAUUAAGAGGCUGUCUAGAACGUCUGGUCAAGGUCAAAAGAGUUCAAGAAUGAAGUUGUCUUAAUUGCCAAAUUACAACACAGAAAUCUCGUGAGACUCUUGGGUUGCUGCUUAGAGGAAAUGAAGCACUGCUUAUCUAUGAGUUCAUGCCCAACAAAAGCCUGGACACCCACCUCUUUGGUUCAAGAGAAAAUGAGAUUCUUGAUUGGGGACAACGCCUCCACAUUAUUAAGGGAAUAGCUAGGGGUAUUCUGUAUCUGCACGAGGAUUCUCGACUAAGAAUCAUUCAUAGGGACCUAAAAUCUAGCAAUGUUUUGCUGGACAAAGAUAUGAAUCCGAAGAUAUCUGACUUUGGAAUGGCAAAGAUGUUUAGCGGAAAUCAACGUGAAGCCAAUACAAAUAGAGUCGUUGGAACCUAGUAAGACUUCUCUUGAUUCAAGCUCAAUACUUCUCGUCACUCUGAGUUUUAUUUCUUCUAUAAAAGUUCGACCUUUACUGUCUGAAAUCUUAAGAAUAUAAAAGAUGCGUCACUUUGAGCGUUUAAGUCCUGCCAUCAAAAUAUCUCGACAUGCAGAGUGCAAAGAGGAAGAACUAGCUUGCACAUUGAGGAGUAUGUUGAAUAUAAUUAUAUAAAAAAACUUGUGCUCUUUAUUUAAAACACGCUUUUAGAUAAAGUGCUAACAGUGUUCAACAUAUUUGAUGUGUGAAAUUACAAGCUAUCAAAAGAUGAUGCAAAAUUCU